ensembl:lncRNA
AGAGCAUCCUCCGGAGUGCUGAGCUGCGCAUGAGGCCCUGGCAAGGGAGCCCUGAGCUGUUAGUGACCUUAGGCUAGUCACUCCAUUUCUUUGGACCUAAGUUGCCUUAUAUGUGAAAUGAGGGAGUUGAGGUACAUCACCAAGGCACUUUGUCCUGCCCUGGGGAGUGACAGCCUGCAGUCAAGAGGAUGCUGGGCUGCACCAGCCUCUGCCUGUGUCUGGGCAGGACAUGGCGGUGCUAAGAGUGGCUCUGGAGUCACCUUCCACCUGGCUCUGCCUCUCAUCAAGGGUCUGAAAUGCUUUUGCACAGCCACUUCCUCAUCAGAUGAUCACCAUGAUGAUACAACAGAAAGGUUAAGAAGACCUCAUGAUACAGUUGGCCAUGGAGAUGACUGAACCAUCAACCUCUGAGCAGUGAAGAUCUGGAUUCCUAGAUUUCCCUGAAGUCGUCAACCUCUCACAAGCAAAAAAAUGACCAAAAGGGAGGACUGAAUAUGCAAACAGACAGUGACCAGACCACACAAACCAAAGAACUCUGACACACAAUCUCUGCAGUAACCAGCCCAGAAUGGUCAGGACUUGGUCAGUGACUGCUGGCUUCCCUAUUUUUUCCUGUUUCCAACUCAGGACCAAUCAGAGAAAACCAAAUAUGUUCCCCAAGUGAAUCACGUAAGGCACCCAGCUUCUAGUUAGCCUAUCUCCAGCUUCCUCGUGCCAACAAUCUCAAAUCACAGCAUACCUGAAGCCUCUCCUCUGCCUGCCUUUCAGUCUCUGCCAAAAACAAGUGAUGGUGGCU